UUAUAAUAUCGGGGGACAGAAAACAACGAGGAGCCGACUAGUGCGGUGGCGAAAAGAACCGUCCUCGUCUCGGCUAUUAAAAGUGUCGGAAAACUUUUGAGUAUUUGCGCGUCCGAAAUUAGACAGACAGCUGGAUGGACGGCCCCGAGAUCUGCUGACACACAUUUAUUGCAUUCAUCUGUGAUUUGAUUGUUGUAUUUAUCGGUGAUUAUCAUUCAUCUAGAAACUGGUCAUCAUCAUCACCAUCAUAGGAACGGCGUUAUUCAUUUAUUCGGUUUUUUCCUGGUUAUGAAGUGCAGUGUCAGCCUCCGAGGCCAGUCAGUUUCGAUUUAGCUGUCCAAGUGUGUGCUCAUCUUGUUCUUCGUUCGUGUGUGUGUGUGUGUUGUGUUAUGCGCGCGCUCAGCACACAAAGAAAUAUCUCGAAUAACUCGGCCAUUGUCGGAUAUCUUUGAAACAGGUUGAAUCGACAAUGGAUUCGGCCUCGGAUCGGGAGGCAAAGGCGAGCAACGGAGGUGGCGAGAGUCACAGAGGCACGCCGAAUCAUCAUGGAAGCUCAUCGUCCGCCAUGAGUGUCCAGCAGGCCCAGCAAGCUCAAGCCCAAGCUGCAGCUAUGAACGCCCUCGGACUCCUCGAUCCUUCAGCCCUCUUUGCGCAUUCGUUGUUUGCUGCCGGAAUUCCGGCUAGUUACAACCCGAUGGCUCCGAUGUCCGGCUACGGUCUACUGGGUCAAGGCGGCCCGUCACCUUUCGCCCCUCCCUCGUCCAGCAAUCAAGCCAACGCAGCAGCUCAGGCCGCCUGGUGGCAGGUAGCUUCACAAAUGGAUUACUUGGCCCGGUUGCAGCACGCUGCCGCAUCCGCUUCCGCUGGUUCUUCGUCCGGUCGUGGCGGCGGUGGCGCUUCGUCCUCUUCCGCCGCCGCCGCCGCUUCUUCCUCAACAUUCCACGGGAUCCCCGGAUUUAGCGGCCUCUCGGCGGCCGACAGCAUGCUGGCCAGCUACACGAUGGCCAUGAACGCGGCGGCACAUUCCGGAAACGUUGGCGGCAAAUCGGCGAAAAGCUCGUCGUCGUCGUCGCGCAACAGUUCCAAUCCCAUCGUGCGGGAUUCACUCAGCACGCAGCCUAUUCCUUCCGCCUCGACAGCCUCGCCCUAUCAGCCGGCCAAUACCUCGACUCCGUCAAGUGGCAAAUCUCGUCCACCCGCCGGAACUGAACUCAAAUUCAUGACUCCCGAAUCGGCCGCUCAGACUGCCACCCCUACCACUAGCAGUUCCGCCAACCGUAAGAGCAGUUCCAGCAGCAAAAAUCGACGGAGGGCCAACACCUCCAACAAUCUGGAACCGGCCUCCGUCUCGGUCCACACUUCCGGAUCGGCCACGACACCCAGUUCCAGUUUGUCGUCUCUCUCUUCCAUGGCCAUGUCGUAUCCUUUCUUCGGCAAUCCACUCGCCUCCCUGGCCAUGCCACCAGCCAUGGCCGCAGCCGUCCAGUCGGUUCAAUCAGCCCAGUCGACUUCUUCUUCUUCACCCGCCAACGAGGACAAGAAACGAUCCGGCAAGAAAUCAGCAGAUCGACAUUCGAUGGAUUCGGCAGCCGUUCAACUGCUUCGUUUACCGGCCACGACCAGCAGCUCCGUCACGGUGACGACAACCAGCAGCCUCAACAACAACACCAUCAACAACGGGACAAAAGCUCGAAGCCAAACCGUCAACGGCAAACCCUUGGCGCUGGAUGUCAGCUCGCUGAUUGGGAAGCCCAGCACAUCACAGUCGACGACCUCGUCGGAAGAGGCGCCACUGAAUCUCUCGAUGAAAGCCAAAGAGGAGCCGUCGCAGCAGCCGACCUCGUCGUCGUCUUCGUCGGCCACUUUGUCUUCAUCCACGUCCAGCUCUAGGCUGGGCCGCGGUGUGUCCAUGCCCAAGAAGAACACUGUUGCUUCUUUGCUGGCCCAGAGUCGCAACCAGCGCAGCACCAGCCCUGGCGCCGGAAGUGGAGGUUACAACAGCAGCAGUGCGCCCACAGUCUCGGCUCCGCAGGCUCACGCGGCCAGCAAUGUCGGAUCGAGCCAGGCUUCCGCCGCCGAAAUGAAAGCCAUGAAAGAUAAUUUGGCGCUGUACACGGCCAUGCAAGAGCUGAGCAACGCCAAAUUAUCCAGCGCCUACCUCAAUGGAAUCAAAGACAGUUUGAAUUCCGGCGGCCAAGCGGGCGGUAGCGACGCCAAUCACGCCAUCCAGGAUCUGCUGCGGGCAGCCAGUCUCUUGGGCGGAUUCGGUUUCGGUGGCAAUCCACUUUCAGGCCUGCCUCAAUCUGCUGGCGCCCAGCCUUCCGGCAACAGCAAAUCCUCCAGCAGCACUCCUAACAAAUCUUCAGCUGCUGACGGCGCUAGUAGCAAGACGGAAGCCAAUCCGGCUUCCAAGAUUAACGAGCAGUCGAGAAGCAAAAGUACACCGACGCCGGAAAACGGCCAGGCCAGGACCAGCGAGUCCCAUCGAGGCAACGGAAAGUCAACCACUCACGACGACACUCCAGCUAGCGACGAUUCCGAUAGUAUGGAUGAGGAUGACUCGAUGAUCGACAGCGACGACGGAUGGGCCGGAACGGGCGAAGGUGGAGACGGCGAGUCGAGAAAGCGGAAUGCGGAUGGCGGUGAAGGUAGCGACGACAGGCCGUCGAAGCGUCGGCGAUUUGUCUCUGACGAAUCGGCAUUGCGAGUCCCGCUGAAUCACGGCUGGAAACGUGAGACCCUGAUUCGUGCCAUCGGCAAGUCGGGCGUUCGCGGCGAAGUGACUUAUUACUCGCCCUCUGGUCGCCGCUUCCGUCAAUAUCCGGAUGUGGUUCGAUACCUGGAAAGGCAGGGCAUUGGAACCAUCACGCGGGACAAUUUCAGUUUCAGCACGCGCUGCAUCGUCGGCGAAUUCAUCCAGCCGCUGGGCGAAUCUCCCAACGCCAGAGGAAUCCGACUGGGCGAGCCGGAAGUGCGACAUUUAGUCGACCAGAUCCGCAUCGCUCGUGGAUGGAAGCCGCGCAGCCGUCGGAUGACGGAAGAGGAGAAGGAGGCCAUCACUCGACAGCGCGAGGCCCAGCGAGUGGCCCAGCGGAUGGAAGCGCAAGAGAUGGCCCGGCAGGCGCAGGAAGCCAAACUCCAGCAGAGAAUGGAGCGGGAACGGGCCCUCCAGGAAGCCAAAGAGGCCCGCCGUCAGAUGCGCGAGCAGGAAAAGCUGGAACGACAAGAGGCCCAGCGCAAGGAGCGAGAACUGCGCACCCAGCAGCUGAUGGAAGCCCGUAAGAAGCGCCAGGAAGAGCUGGAUCGGCUGCGAGAAGAGGAGCAGCAGCGUAAAAUCCAGGAGCUCAAUAAGCAGCGCGAACUCUUCUACACGGCCGAGCUGGAACGCGAAAGGAAGCGGCAGCACACGGCCGUCGUCAAAGCGCUGGAAGCCCGGAAGCGCUACGAGGAUCGCGAGCGACGACGCGAGGAAUUGAAGGCCGAGAAACGGGCGGAACGCGAGAAGAAGAUGGAAGAACGUCGACGCGAGCUGGAAUCGUGGCGCGACCAGCGCAGCCCCACCGAAGACACAUCCUUGAUGGAUCACAAGCCUUUACCCGACAUUCCUCGCAUCACCAACCUCAAGCUGGCCGGACAGGCCCUGGCUGACAUCCUGAUGCUCUACGAGUUCCUGCACACGUUCGGCGAAACGCUGGGCUUUGACAUGGAGAGUCUCCCCUCGCUGGACAGUCUCCAGAGAGCCCUGCUCUACGACAGCGAAGCCGAGGAGGAGCUGCUCUCUGUCAUGACGCACUUGCUGGUAUGCUCCAUCGAAGAUCCGGGCAUUCCGCACCCCAACCGGCACACGACCCUUUUGGGACAGACGCUGAAACAGGCCGACAUUACGACGACCAACGUCAGCGAGAUAUUGCGCAUCUACUUGCAAGCCAACGGAUUGGGUGACAUGAAAAUGCCGGCCGCCGACAAGAUCACGUCCAGCCCUCUGAAGCUGGCCGCCGGUGAAUAUCCGGACACGGAAGCCUUCCUCAUGUCCGAGUGGCUUAAACGCAAGCCUUUCCUAUCACUCAAUCCAACUCAAAAGGCGGCCAUUUUGGGAUUUAUGGUCAACGAAUUACUCCAGAACAAGGCCGUCAUUGGUCAAAUCGAAGGUGCCAUCGAGGGUCAGAACACGGCCAGAAGAGAUCGCUGGAUCGUGGACACGAAAAUCAAGAAGCUCAAAACGCUUCAUUCUAAAAAGCAUCGAACGUCACUCAUCAGUUCAUCCAUCAAUUUCUCAUCCACGGCGGCCAACAAAGCGGACCCGAUGGAUGAUUCGACAAAUCACGACGAAACCAACCAUUCGGCCAGCGGAAGCAAGAAAAAAGAUGAAAUCACCGAAACCGAAGAACAUCCGGAAGAGGCGGAUGAAGACAGUGGGGGUGAAGCUGAUGACAAUGCAGAUCAAGGCGAUGAGGAUGAAGAUGGAAAUCUUCCUGUGGAGGAGUUGAAACGGAAGAUUGAACGUUUAGGCCGGCAAAGUGCCCAAAUGUUGACUCAGUUAGCCUUGUCCGAUUUGCAAUUGCGAGCGCUCAAUAUGGGCCAGGAUCGCUUCCGGCGACGUUUGUGGAUUUUGCCGCACGCUGGUGGCGUCUACCUCGAAGCUUUAGAGUCCGGAGAAGCCAACGCCGGACCACUGGGUACUUGGGACGGCAAACCCGCCCCUCCGAUCGGCCCUCAGCGCAACGGCGACGAGCCGGAUGACGAGCCCAUGCCGGAAGUCCCACCAGUCAAAAGCGAACCGAUCUCUGACGAGCCUAAACCGACUCUACCCGUGCCGAAAACCGAACUAGAAGAUAAAGAAAUUCCUAGUCUCCAGGAACCAAUGGAAGUGGACCAACCGGCCGUUAAAACGGAAUUGGUCGAAGAAGCAACGGCGGCCGCCGAUGUCAAGAGUGAAGAAAACACGACCGCCGGAAUGAUACCAGUCACAGCCGAGGUCGUUCUGAAGAAGGAAGAAGAGACACAGGAAGCUCUUCCGGCUCUGUGGUUCAGCCUCUUCCCCCGCACUCCAUGCGAUCGCCAUUCAUCCGCCAACCAGGGCAAGGAUCGUUUCGGCUCGGACGAAGACGAAGGUGAAGGUCGUAUGUCAAAGAAAGAAGAAGCGGCCAAGGAAGAAGCUGAGAAAAUUAUCAUGCAACCCAUUCCGGAAGAAAUGACCCGCGGCUGGUGGCGGAUCGUCGAUCCGGAACAAGUCAAAACUUACGUCGAAUCGCUACAUCCUCGAGGCGUUCGCGAGAAGGAGCUCAACCGGAUGUUGACACGUUUUAUGGACUUUGCUCGCGAAUCGUGUUUGAAGGGCAAUCCCAAAGAUUUGCUGCUGAAGGAACUGCGCAACGCCGACGAGGUCAAACUGGUGGGCGGAGCCGCUUUGCCGGAUGCGGAAGGUUCGUGGUCGAGAGAGACGUCUCUGCGGGGUGACAUCCUCCUGCUGGAACAGAUCGAAGCCCUGGAAGAUCGCGUGGCCUCUGCCAGCAUGCAAGUCAAAGGCUGGAAAUUGCCCGCCCGGGCCACUUCUGAAAUGAACUUGAAAUUCCGCACGCCCGGAGACACGUCGUCUGAUGAUGACGAUGACGAAGACGAAAGAGUUAACCCCAUACAGCUGGCCAAAGAAAGGCUGUUGAGCGUCGAACUGGCCAUCGAACGUCGUUACCUGAAAGCUCCUCUCGGUCAGAGCAAAGGCGAUCUGGUUCAGAGCGUCCUGUCCGGCUCUUGCCCGUCCAGCGAGCCGCCCAAAGCCCUGCUGACAUGGCGAGAGGCCGUCAAACGCUGCGAAACGGCCGCCCAGGUCUCCAUGUGCUUUUACGUUCUGGAAACCUCCGUGGCCUGGGACAAAUCGAUCAUGAAGGCCAGCUGCCAAUUCUGCCACAGUGGUGAUAAAGAGGACCAACUGUUGUUAUGCGACGGAUGUGACAAAGGCUAUCACACCUACUGCUUCCGGCCACCCAUGGAUAACAUCCCAGAUGGCGACUGGUUCUGUUACGAGUGCCGGAAUAAAGCUACCGGCCAGCGCAACUGCAUCGUCUGUGGUAAACCCGGAAACAAGACUAUCAGCGUCCUCUGCGACCAGUGCCCUAAAGCGUAUCACAUCGAAUGCCUCCAGCCUCCGCUCGCCAAGGUUCCUCGAGGCAAAUGGCUAUGCGUUCUGUGCCACUCUAAAUCGCCGGCCAAGAAGAAGGCGGCCAGCAAGAAAGCGGCCAACCGAGAGCCGAGGAUCAGCGAAUCCGAGUCGACCUCGGCAGCUAAUUCGGCCAAAGAAAUUAAAGAAGCGGCCGACAAGAACGCGCAUUCCAACGACAGCGAAGCGCCUGCCGCCGCUGUCGUUGCCGGCCCUGGACCGAGCACUCCGGUCGCCACUCCGUCGCCGCGCCGAUCCUCCUCCGCUGUGGCUCUAAAGCGUAGCCUCAACCAGGCCAUCGCCAAGGAGAAGGAUCUUGCGCCGUGCAGGUAUAAAGGGAGAUCCUCGACCAGUUAGAAGCUCACGAUGAAGCCUGGCCUUUCCUUUUGCCUGUCAAUACCAAACAAUUUCCCACCUACAAGAAAAUCAUCCGCUCACCCAUGGAUCUGAGCACCAUCCGCAAGAAACUCAACGACGGCAUAUACAAGACAAGGGACGAUUUUUGUGCCGACUUGCAACUGAUGUUUGUCAAUUGUGUUACAUUCAACGAGGACGACUCUCCUGUCGGCAAGGCCGGCCACAGCA
rnacentral:misc_RNA from 1 species